GAUGACAGGAAUGGAGACUGAAACAGGGAGAGACAAAGCCAUGGAAGAAGAGAGCACUGAACAGAAAAAGGAGAGGGAGAAGAAGAAGAGGUCAAGGGUUAAACAGGUGCUGGCAGAUAUAGCCAAGCAAGUGGAUUUCUGGUUUGGGGAUGUAAAUCUCCACAAAGACAGAUUUCUCCGAGAACAGAUAGAGAAGUCCAGAGAUGGGUAUGUUGACAUAUCACUUCUUGUUUCUUUCAACAAGAUGAAAAAAUUAACUACUGAUGGGAAGCUGAUCGCUCGGGCAGUUAAAAGCUCCUCUGUUGUGGAGCUGGACUUGGAAGGAACCAGAAUCAGAAGACGCCAACCACUGGGUGAGAGGCCAAAGGAUGUGGACAGUCGGACUGUCUAUGUGGAGCUGCUUCCCAAAAAUGUCAAUCACAGUUGGAUCGAGAGGGUGUUUGGCAAGUGUGGGAACGUGGUUUAUGUCAGUAUCCCCCGGUACAAAACCACUGGGGACCCAAAGGGCUUUGCUUUUGUGGAAUUUGAAACUAAAGAGCAAGCAGAGAAAGCUAUUGAGUUUUUGAAUAAUCCACCAGAAGAAGCGCCACGGAAACCUGGGAUUUUCCCCAAAACAGUGAAGAAUAAACCUGUUCCUACACUGAACACAAGUGACAGCACUGUAGUAGAGGAGAAGAAAAAGAAGAAAAAAAAGAAAUCCAAAAUGAAGAAAGAGAGCAAUGCACAGGCAGCUGCAGAGCCAAAGGAAUCAAACACCAACACUACAAUGGAGCCAACACCCAAACCAAAAAGACACAGGACUCCAUCUGAGUGUUCUGAAAUGGAGGGAACUGAGACUCCAAGGCAGCCCUCCAGGAGGGAGAAAAGGAAAUGGGACAAAACAGAAAAUUCAGAGGUAACUUGUGAAAGCAGGCCUGGGAAGAGAAAAAGAACCAGCUCAGGAGAUGGGGAGACAUCGGCUCCAAAAGUCAAGAAAACUGCUGAAAAGGAUGAAGCUGAACCAGUAAAAGAAGAAACAACAGAAGCUCCAAAGGAUUCCAAUGGUAAAGAAGUUUCUGCAGAAGACGACAAAGAUAAAAAAGACACAUCUCUUUCCAAAGCUAAAAGGAAACACAAGAAGAAACACAAGGAAAGGCACAAAAUGGAGGAAGAAGUCAUCCCCCUCAGAGUGCUGUCCAAGACCGAGUGGAUGGGUUUGAAGCAGGAAUAUUUGGCCCUGCAGAAAGCCAGUAUGGCCUCGUUAAAGAAAACCAUGUCUCAAAUCAAACCUGAGCCCGCGGGGGAGAUGGAAACGGAAUCCUGCGCCCAGAAAUCGCAAAAUCACAAAACAGCCACCGGUGAAGAUUGUGCCCCUCCCGCCAAGGCCAACACAAUGGGGCCUCAGUUCGUCAGCGGAGUAAUUGUGAAGAUCAUUAGCACCGAGCCCCUGCCGGGCAGGAAGCACAUCAAGGAUGCUCUGGCAGUGCUGGCUGAGGUGGCUUAUGUUGACAUGCUGGAGGGAGACACCGAAUGUCACGUCCGCUUCAAGACUCCUGAGGAUGCCCAGACUGUCCUGAAAUCCCACAAAGAGAUCCAGAUCAAAAACAACUGCAAAUUCGAAGUUCUCACUGGUGACAAUGAACAACGUUACUGGCAGAAGAUUUUAGUGGACAGACAAGCUAAACUUAACCAGCCUCGAGAAAAGAAGAGGGGGACUGAGAAGCUGAUUGCCAAGGCUGAGAGGAUGAGACUGGAGAAGACUCAGCAGACAAGCAAACACAUUCGCUUCACUGAUAACAACUAACCAGGACUUGAUGAUCUUCGAGUGUGAACUGCAGAACAAUCUUCGGUGGAAGAAAAUAAUAUCUUUGUUUGAUACCUGUGGUUGCCUUAGCUCCAGAAGUAGUUCUUACUUGCAGAUAAGUGUUAAAAGUCGGGUAGUUCACAGGUUAAGAUGGUGAUUUUAAUGGCUUUCAAGUAUUUCACGGGAGACUGGCAAUAUUUUAAAAAUCCCCGAAGGUAAAACCGGAAUUCUACAGGGGGCUGCACUUGUGAGUGACUCAGCCCUGCUGGCAGGGAGGGAGUGAAUGGAGAGGAUUAGCACGACUCAAUGGAGAAGGGAAUAGCAGCGAUCAGGCUGGAGAUACCAGGAAAACAGAGGGGAAAAGUGCAAGAUAAGGGACAAACAAAAGGGCUGCAAGGGCUGGAGGGGAAGAGCUUGCUGAUGGUUCUUGGAAAUGGUGUGUGGAGGAUUCCUCCCAGGGGAAAAGUGGGGGAAGGCUAAGAAUUAACCCGGGUGCCAGGCAUUCCCCUGUGGACUCCUGCACUAUUCAGGUGUUUAGUCCAAUCGCAGCAUUUUUUAUUUAUUAUUAUCAUUUAAUCUUGAACUCCUCCCAUUCUAGGUGGGUAAGAUAUUUGAUGACACGAGAAAAAUGAUUUUCAUACCUACCUAUGAAAAGAAUUGAUCCAUUACUGUUUUUUCUAGGCAUUCUGCCUAAAAGACAGUUUGUUUUCUUUUUCCAUGGCUGUGAUGUGAAGGGGAAAAAAUAAACCCACAAGCCUACUCUGGGUAAAAUGUUCAGGAUUUUGCUGCUGAAGUUCAUUUGAGUCAAAAAUAUAUCCGUGUUAUUAAAUAAUUCAGCUCAUAAAUGAUUCAGACUUUUUAUGGGUGGUGGAGAGUGGAACUCAACUGCAAAAGCCUAAGUCUGGGAGUUAUUGGUCUUGUAUUUAUAUUUUCUGACUUUAACACACAGAAGUCACCCUUCUGUCCCUUUCCAUAUUUAUACAGGUUAAUUCCUUACACUUCAACAUGUUUCCUUUUUCUCCUUUCCCAAACUAGUGCAGCAAUCUGCUUCAGCAGGGAAGGACAGUCGGUGUUUUAUUACUUCCUGAAGAAGUUAAUAACAGCAUUUUUGCUCUUAAUUCACAAGUCAGGAGUGGAGAGGAUGGUCUAGAUGCUUUAACAAAACCUUGGAUUCUCCAGGAUGUGCCAGAAUGAGGGAAGGCUGCUGGAUGGCAGACAGUGUGUCCUGCUGCGUGGGCAGAUGUUAAUCAACCUGUCUCACCACAGUGGUUCUGACACGGGCCAUCACCACCUUUCCAAAUCUCCACGGCUGCCUCAUCCAGAGAGGGCCUGACCCAGGUUCAAGGGGUUAAUUUUGAAAACAUUUUUUUUUCCUCGUGUCUCAGGACUGUCUGGUUUUAGCUGUGAUGGGGAUCAGAAGUGACAAGGUACCGCAGGGGAGCUGUUCUCCUGGGCUUUGCAUCAUGCCUGAAGCCAGACCAGGAACAUCCUGAGAGGGGCUGAUCCACCAGACCCCUCAGAUGACACCACUUUGACCAAGCAGAGUUGCUUCCCAGGUUUUUUUGGCAUUCACCUCUCAGAGCACACCAGGAUGUUUCCAGAGCCAGGUGUGAUGGUGGCUCUGUGCAGAGCCAGGACAGACCCUUUUGGGGAGGGGGCUGCACAUGUGGCUGUGGGUCAUGGAGAACGUGACUGAUAUUCUUGGCCUCAGCAAGCUGACUCGGUAUUGUGACUGCAGUGUCCCUUGGGAACAUCCUGUGUGUGCUGUGGAAAAGGCAAGGAGCAAUUAUGUCAGAAGGAAAAGAUGUUAUUUUUCAGUGCCAUGGCUCUGCUGUGGAUGCUCGGAGAAGAGCUCACAGGGAUCUCAGACCAAACAGACACGUCAGAUGUGUUGCUAUGGCCAGAUACAGAUAUUUCCAAAUGGGUAUGGCUAUUAAAUACAUGGGAGAUAACAGCAAUCUGAGAAGCACACAAGACAGAAAUAUAGUGAGACCAAAUACUUGGUUCGGACCAAAUUAGAGGUUUUUUUGUCUGAUUUUUAAAUGCAGCAACUCAAAAAGGCCUUUUCACACAGUAGAAAAGCCUCUUUUGCUGUUUCAAAGCUUAGCACAGAAAGCUGAUAGACAGAAAGGAAAAUACAGCUUCCCAAAUCUAUCUUUUACAUAAAAUCAAAAUAAGGAUCCUGACAUUAGGACAGGACAAGACCCAAGACUGAAGCCACUGUGUGGCUUUCAAUAUCAAAAUGCAAAGCCCAGCAUUACAUGACACUAAUCUAUGUGAUAGCACGGGCAGCUUGAGGCCCAUCAGGUCCAUCUGAUGAGGUUCUGCCACCAUCCCAUCUGUUUUGUAUUCAUCUGUCACUGAGACUCUGAGCCACUGGGGAGGAAAAAGAACUGGCAAUGUCACCGUGGCUUUCUGACAUCCUUACAAGCAGUGUGGGGAUUGCUAGAGGUUGUUUCCUGGUGCUUAUCAGGGACAUCAAAAUGUAACUAAAUACCACCUAGGAGGAAAUACUGUUGUUACCCAUCGGGAGUUCCAGACCCAAAACUGCUGUUACACCGUGUUUCAGCUGUUCCUGAUAGAAAGGAGAUGUGUGUUGGGCACAGUCCUGAGUCCUGCUGGAGAGUCCACUGCAACCACUAAGGAAAAGGGUACAGUGUGGGCUCUCUGAGCUGCAAUGUGCUGCUAACGCUCCGUGCAGUUGUCUCAGCCAAAUCUUCGUCUAAUUUGCUUUAGCAGCAGAUGUUAAAAGGAAGAACAAAUCAAAGCAGCUGUAUACCCAGUGGGACUGAGGUUUCCUUGAGCUCGGCACUCAUCUCCAGCAGCAGCAGCAGUUGGCACCCAGGGAAGAGGAAAAAAAAAGUGGAUAAAGAGACACUGAAAGUUCCCUGAAACAGCCCCUGAGCCUCUGGAGUGCAAAGCUGCCCUACUUUACACCAUCACCUUGGAGAUGGAAAACACAGUUCUCUGCAAAAUCUGCUUGUCACGAUUCCCAAUGUUUUUUGUAUCAGAGGUGAGGCAGCCAAACCCUGACCCCGCUGAAAAUCCCUGGGCGGUCACAGCUGAGUUUGGCGCGGUGGGGGCUGUGCCUCCGGGAGGGAGGCACAGAGAAGUAUUUCGGACGUUCCUCGCAGGUCCCGGCACAGCUUUGUGCGCGUCUCCUUUGUUCUCCGGCAGUUUCCAUGGUGCUCCCGCUUUUGUGUGCAGACCUGUCUGCGGGCAGCACUUCUUCUCCAACGCCGAUUUCCCGAGGCGAGGCGGCGCAUCGCAUUGCCGUGCCCGUGCUGCAGAGCUGCCGGGCGUCAGCCACCGCCGGCAUCCUGCAGCCUGGCACUCGGGAACCUCGGGAAACUACGGAUUCGUGUGUUUUAAAGGAACGGAGCGAUACGCAGUAACCCAGCUCAGCCUUUCGCCGGUCGUGUUUAGCAGUAUGAGAGGAGGGAGGGCUCUUAUCCGAAGGGAUCGUUGCUGUAAAAUGAAAAGGCAGGGCAAGAAGCAGCAGCCAUGCUGCUGUUUGCUGCAGCACUCUGCAAAUUCGAUCUGCAGAUGAUCUGUAGGUGUAACAAAGCAUCAUUCCCCUCGCACAGGCAAGGAUGAACUAAUUUAUCUGUUAUCCAGCUGUUAAUUCUCUGCUGAUCGUUCUGAUACCGGAGCACUGACCUCCUGAAUGGCAUCAGCAGGGAGGAACUCGUGGUCCUCACGUCAGGCACAAAGUCAGAAUAACCUGUCCUCUGCUAUUUAUGCCCAGGAAUGAUAUCCCUCAAGAAGCCCUGAGCCUUGAGCCUGCUCAGAGGAUCACAGUAGAGGGCUUAGAGCCCAAGACUAGAAAUAUUUCAGCGGGAAAACCGGUUCUGGGCAUCUUACAGGCUGUUCAUCCAAAAGGAACUGGAGUGUAAAAUCACUGCCCAAGUGAAAAAGCAGGCGAAAGGGCAAAGCUGUGCCAAGGGGGGAUUGUACCUCCCAGGCACAGCAGAGAGUACAUUAAAUGGUGGGAAUCAGGUCUGUUUAGCAGGAAUGCAAUUUAAUCCAGGACCUGCAGAUACCAAUAAGAAAAAACAUUAAUAUCAAAAUAUAGAGAGAAUAUCACUGGGGGCACAAGGGUGGCUUAGAAAGAGAUGUCUUCAUCACAAAAACUAAAUACUGCUUUUUCUUCACUAAGGUGAAGCUUGUACUGUGUGCUGGGAGAGAACAGGCUGGACAUGGAAAUGAGCGUUUGGUAAGCCUUGGCAGAGGUUUUCAAGGAUGCCUAGAAAAUUAUAAUGCCCAAUUAAGUAGGAAUUGGUCAUCCAAGUCCCUUAGGCGGUCCUGAAAAUUGCAGCCACUCUGCACUGCAUCUCAUUUUCAGUCAGAUUUGUCCCUUCUGCUUCUCUUUGCACUCCUCUUCCAGCACCAUCCGCAGCUCCUGCUGGCGCAGAGCUCCAGCUGAGGCUGAAGCCAAGGAGCAGGGCUUGGACACAUGGCAUUCCAGCAGCCUCAGUGGGGACAGGAGAGGGGAUAGUCUGCCUCUGUUGAGGCCAUUCAGAGCUGGAGCUUCUCUGUAUUAGCUUAACUUCCUAGGAACCCCUGAGAAUUUUACUGUCCUUGAUUUCCUUCAGCAGCUCCACUCUUGGAAUGGGCUGUGCCUGGGCACAAGAGGUGAGGGAAGCCCUUCACCUGGCAGAGGCCUGGGAGAUAAGAAAGGAGUGAAAAAGCCUCAUUAUUUUAGAGGUAGAUUUGCAAGAAAACAGGAGGGAAACCUCAUUCUAGAUGUCAGCAGGAACAGCAUCCCAAGGUUUCCUGGGAGCCCCGCUCCAAUACCACCUUUAAAUAUGGAAGACUUGCUCGUGGCCACAGCACUGCUUCCCUCUCACCUGGGUCUUAGUUUUCCAUUGAUUCUGUCUGAUCCAGCCUUCUCAAUGACUAAAUCUCCACUUCCCACAACCUGCUAUCAGUUGUUAUUCCUUCUCAGCCCUCCUCCUCAUCCAGAUCCAUCCAGUCUAUCCGCGGCCCUGGAGUUCCUGAGCUGUGUUGCCAGCCUGCAGGAGGCUGGAAUUGUGCUGGUACUUCUCAGGAAUAAACCUACUGGUUGUGCACAAGGCACGGUGGUGGGAUCCAAGGAAAGGACGUGUCCUUGUGCGACAGAGCUGACCUGGACAGAUGUUCCUUUUGGAAGUACCAGGACAUGGAGAGCGGCAAUGGAACAAAUAGAGGUGAGCAGGAUGAAAGCUCUCUCUCGUACGGGUUUGGAAAAACACCCUCUCCACCUGUAGUAUUCCACAAGUGAGGAAUAACGGUGCUUUCCCAUCAAA